GACGAACGCUGGCGGCGUGCUUAACACAUGCAAGUCGAACGGAAAGGCCCGGUUUUUGUUGGGUGCUCGAGUGGCGAACGGGGGAGAAACACGUGAGUAACCUGCCCUUGACUUUCGGAUAUCUUCAGGAAACUUGGGCAAAUACCGCAUAUGAGCUCUUGCUCCGCAGUGUGGGUUGGAAAGUGUCGGCGGUUGGGGAUGUACUCGCGGCUUAUCAGCUUGCUGGUGAGGUUGUGGCUUACGAAGGCUUUGACGGGUAGCCGGCCUGAGAGGGGGGCCGGGCACAUGGGGACUGAGAUACGGGCCAGAAUCCUACGGGAGGCAGCAGUGGGGAGUAUUGCACAAUGGGCGGAAGCCUGAUGCAGCAACGCCGCGUGCGGGAUGACGGCCUUCGGGUGAAAAACAGCUUUCGCAUGUGCCGAAGCGUGGGUGACGGUAAUGGGUAAAGAAGCACCGGCUAACUACGUG
rnacentral:rRNA from 1 species